CCUUCAUUGAUUUCAAUGGGAAACUUUUGGCGUCAGAACACAGACGCGAAGGACGUGAGAUGAUCGCUAUGAAAUCACGUUCAGGAAGUCUCAUUCAGCACACAUCGCGAUAUUUGCCAUCAGUUUACGUGUGCUGCAGGUUGGAUGAAAAGACCUAAAGGAAGCCGUCAGUCCAGUCUUGUUUGUGGAGAGUCUUCAUUUAGAAACAGAGAAGACAGAAAGCUGCAGAGGGAGACAUUUGCAGUGGAUUACUCACAGAUUGUGCUGUCCUUCUUUUUCAGGUCUCUACAAUAUCUAAACAACAGCUCCUUUAUGAACCCUCACAAACCUUCCUAAAAACUGAAAGAGCUGUUACUGAGUCUCAGUGAGUCUUGCCAUGAU